rnacentral:rRNA from 1 species
UACGUAGGGUGCGAGCGUUGUCCGGAAUUAUUGGGCGUAAAGAGCUCGUAGGCGGUUUGUCGCGUCUGCUGUGAAAACUCGAGGCUCAACCUCGGGCUUGCAGUGGGUACGGGCAGACUAGAGUGCGGUAGGGGAGACUGGAAUUCCUGGUGUAGCGGUGGAAUGCGCAGAUAUCAGGAGGAACACCGAUGGCGAAGGCAGGUCUCUGGGCCGCAACUGACGCUGAGGAGCGAAAGCAUGGGGAGCGAACAGG